GAUGAACGCUGGCGGCGUGCUUAACACAUGCAAGUCGAACGGGAAACCUUUUAUUGAAGCUUCGGCAGAUUUAGCUGGUUUCUAGUGGCGGACGGGUGAGUAACGCGUGGGUAACCUGCCUUAUACAGGGGGAUAACAGUCAGAAAUGGCUGCUAAUACCGCAUAAGCGCACAGAGCUGCAUGGCUCAGUGUGAAAAACUCCGGUGGUAUAAGAUGGACCCGCGUUGGAUUAGCUGGUUGGUGGGGUAACGGCCCACCAAGGCGACGAUCCAUAGCCGGCACUAGAGGGUGAACGGCCACAUUGGGACUGAGACACGGCCCAGACUCCUACGGGAGGCAGCAGUGGGGAAUAUUGCACAAUGGGGGAAACACUGAUGCAGCGACGCCGCGUGAAGGAAGAAGUAUCUCGGUAUGUAAACUUCUAUCAGCAGGGAAGAUAAUGACGGUACCUGACUAAGAAGCCCCGGCUAACUACGUG
rnacentral:rRNA from 1 species